CUAAACUGAGGAAAGUCGACCGAUACUGAUCGGCUCGAGGGACGUAGAGGUAAGCGGAACUCUCGGAGUAGCGGUGAAAUGCGUAGAGACCGAGAGGUACCCCGAUGGUGAAGACGGCUUACUGGGCGUCUCCUGACGCUGAAGCGCUAAGGCCAGGGGAGCGAAGGGGAUUAGAUACCCCCGUAGUCCUGGCUUCAAACGAUGUGGGCUUGGUGUCGGCUCCCGAUAGAGAGUCGUUGCCGGAGCUAACGUGUUAAGCCCACCGCCUGGGGAUUACGUCCGCAAGGAUGAAACUCAAGGGAAUUGACGGGGGCCCACACAACCGGUGGAGCACGUGGUUUAAUUCGAUGAUAAGCGAAGAACCUUACCAGGGCUUGACCUAGCGGUAGUAGGAUCCUGAAAAGGAAACGACCUCAAGCUUUGCUUGAGGAGCC
rnacentral:rRNA from 1 species